UUAGUUGCUGAUAGUGCUAUAAAUCUUAUUAUGCAUGCACAGAAUGUAAUGGAAAUUGUAGCAUUAUGUUAGGAGAAAAGUACUGCCUGGAUGUUUACAAGAUAUAUGCCAUACCGGGUUAAGAAUCCAAAAUAUUUAAGAGAUCCAAAGUUAUUUGAUCCCUUUAAUCCUUCAAGACCAAACCCACAUUAAAAUUAUACUGGUUUGUCACUUAGAAGUAUGUGAAUAUUGCCUUAUGAAUUUUUGCUUUCUUGAUUGUGAUAAUAAAGUUUGCUGCAUUUGUUGAAUAUGUCUUUCAUACUGGAGCAUCUGUGUUCAGAAGAUUCUUUGCUAGAAUAGAACAAAAUGUAUAUUAUUAAAUUUCAUUUUCAAAACAAUUUAGUAAUUUUAUAAAUAAAAAAUUACCCUUUUUUAGUA